AACACUAGCAGAGGCCCAUGGGGAAACAGGAACAAAAAUUAAACAGCUAGGGAUGCUACCCUGCUUGCCGCUGUGGCCCCUCUUGUGCAAGCCGCAGCUGGGAUCUAUAUAGUGACCUCAUGUUAACUCAUUGAACCCACGAGCUGGGACUUCCUGAACACAAAGCACUUGCUUUUUUUUCUUCACUUCCCUCCCUAAGUCUUUGGGAAAUGGAGGAUUGGUGUGGACAGAGAGGCCAGUUUGGUUAGCAGGCUUCCCAGAACCCAGAAAGGCAAGCAUGAUGCUUAGUGCUCCAGGCAGGCACAUCAAGCCUCCAUGGUCCAGUCUGGCGCGGUCCUUGACCUCUGGCCUCUGGCAAACAAACCUGAGCAGCACUGACCCUCACCAUUCCUCUCCAACAGCAUGAAGUAAACAUGGCGUACUUGGCCUGCAGGUGCAGGCCUGGGGCCCUCCAUCCCCAGGAGGAAAAUGGGCCACACCUCGAAGCUGACUGCUGGGUAAACGAAAGGACUGAAUCUAUGGGAAAGUUUUGCAAUGAAGAACCAGCAGGGGAAGGUGCUUGCUGCCGCUCCUGAUGACCUCAGUUGGAUCCUUGGAACCCACAAUGUGGAAGUAGAGGACUGACUCCCACCAGUAAUCCUCUGAACUCCAGAUGUGCUGCCAGUUGUCCUCUGAACCCCAGAUGUGCCAUGGCAAGUGGGUACAAUAUGUAUGUGUAACUGUAACAACAAAAAAAUGUUUUUUUAAGUUGCCAAGUCAAAUAUUAACCCUAAGCAAUAAAUCCAUUUCUCCAUCUGCUCACAGGGUCACAAAGGGUUAAGUGCCUACAGAUGUAGGAACACUCCUAACUCAGGGUAGGACACACAGAUUACAAACUGUGGUAGCUCCUGUUGCCUGCAGGAAUUCUUCCAAGCCUCCUCGCUGUCAAUCCCCGAAAGGCCUUGCCUGUGUGGGUGGGUGUGUGCACAGCUCGAUUGUGUAAGAGCUGGCACACUAUUUGGUGAUGAGCUGCACAUGUUCAGAGAGCAGAGCCCAGCCUGUGUGGCUUGCCCUGGAUUUAUGGUUGCCUGUUUGUUCUGCUUCUUUGAGCAGAGCCUAGCCUAUCCUAUACAACAGGCUGGCCUCAAACACUCAUCUUCCUACCUCAGUCUCCUCAGUGUUGGGAUUGCUGGCCUGUACCGCCACUCCAGGUUUCCUACUUCUUUCUUCAUCCCUCCAACUCUUCUUUGAAGGAGAAUGGGUGCUUAUUUCCCAUAGGUAUGCCAGUGUGAUAGGCUCACCAGUGCGGGACCAUCCCUUCCAUGGUCCAGGGUGUGGGGCUGCCAUGGCCAGAGGGAAGACAGCAAAGGUCAUGACCCUCACUUGUCACACAGGAGUUGGGGAUAAAAUGCUGGAGGCCUAGGUGUCUCUGUGAGAACAGGCCUCUGUAGGAGAGAAGGGCAGAGCAAGGUGAACUGGGUCAGGGUGAAGAGGAAGGUUAACAGCCAGAAGAAACAGAGCAAGGAACUCAGGAAAAAUGGGGAUAUGAUCCCUGGACCAGAGGACACUCCAAAUGCUGCGACCAUGGGUUCCUGGAAAUGACUCCAGGCAGACUACAUUCCAAACAUGACACCUUUGUGCUGAACCAGGCCUUCCCUCCCAGGAAGGGAUGCUGCCAGUCUGAGACCUUCCUUCCAGGACAAGAGUCCUAAGAAGUUGGUAGGUUGAAAGAUGGGUGUGAGGAGCCUGUCACCAUCUCUUCUUCACCUUGAGUGCCAGCAGAGUAAAUGACAAGAGAACAGAGACAGAAAUGGGGGAGAGAGAGACAGACGGACACAGAGACAGAGAGAAGAGGCGGGUGAUCACUUGGCCCUGGCCUUCGCUCGCUUGUAAGUACGAGAACAGCCUGGAUUUAUGGAGAGGCCUGGGAUGGCCCACAAGAAGGGCAAGAGGCAGACAGGGAAAAGGCAGUCCAGGUGGCUUAUACAUGCCAUGGAGAAUUCUAGGCCCCAAGCAGCUUCAGGCCCUGGAGUAGUUGAAGGGUAGUCUUCAUCUCUUUGGAGCCUGGGAAAACAGAAGAGAGUCACAGAGGCCAGAUGCCACAGAAGGCACCACCCAAGUGCCAGCAUGUCUCAAAUACCAGGUCUACAUUGUCUGUACCAGGCACAGGAACAGGCUGUAGGAAGCUUCAGACCUGAGCCCUCAGGCUGUUCCAAGCGCUUCACUCAUUUUUAGCAGAAGAAGGAAAGGGGUGGGGGUGGGGGAUACUGAAUUCCUGACUCUUCCCUGGUGCUGCUCAGCCCAGCUUUCCUUCUUUGUGGACUACAGACUAUUUUAUGACUGAUAAAUAAUGGAUGACAUUUUAUAUGAGGUUGUUUUAGUCAGAAAAGAUACAUCCAGAUAUAAGCCUCGCUAUAUGCUAUGGUGGGCAGGAGGCAGGAUGUGGAGAGCACAGAAGUGAGUUUGUGCUCAACAACUGUGAGACUGACAAAGUCAGUUGUGAGUGUAGGCAGUCAGGGCCUGGUGGGGAGUGAGCAUGGCUUAGAAGAUGGCCAAGGGCUGCCUUGUGUGGUCCCUCACAGGUAUCCAGCUGAUCUGACUGGAGAUGGAGGUGCUCUGCCUGUGUUCCCCAUAUCUACCAAGGAAGGUGAGAGAGAAGGAGGGACACAUGGGAGGACAUGUUGCUUUGUCCCUGGGAGGCCUCCCUGGUGGAUUAACUCCUGCCUGCAGCUGCAGGGCAUCACUCUGAGCUGGACUGAUGAGGGCUGCUCUCCUGACUGUCAGUGCAUAUUUGAGUCCCAACAUUCCCAGGUGCUUUGUCACUAGAUCUCAGGGCAGGAGCCACCACAGGCUGCCUGCUGGGACUAGAUAACACAGGCUCCCUGCCAUAGUCAGGUUUAAUUGUCCCUAGCUGUCACAUCCCCCAGGCUAGCAGCCUCUGGAAGACUCUGCCCCCCACCCCCCAAGAAUCUUAGCCUUCCACCACCCCCUCUCCAGCUCUUUUCAGUGGUACAAAUGCCUCCUGCUCCUGAAGGGUGACACAGAACUACCUGAAGAGGCCAGACUAAGGCUGCUUCACCCUAUGUAUUCAAUAUGCAAUUUCAUCAAGAAUUGCCAAGGGGCAGCCUGAUAGAAAAAAAGGUGGGAGCUUCCUGAGGCUCCACACUCUAUCAACCUUGGCAGUCUUGGCAAGUCUUGGCAGUCUUUUGGCGUGUCUUGGAUGGACUAUUAGGGAAAGGCGGACUUGCCAGCCAACACUUGCUUCUUUCCGUUGCUCUCGGUGGGCAUGGCCAGCACGUUCCAUCAGCGGUUAACAGGUAGCUCUUGGUGUUGAGCAAGCGUUGGGCUCCAGCCAAAGGGCAUUCUGAUAAAGUUGGUCCAGUGUGCCAAGGCCUGGCUCUCUGAAACCAUUACCUUUCUCCAACUGGACAUAGCCGGGCUCCCAGGCUGAGCCUGAAGCCCCCUCUGCUGGUAGCCUGCCUCUACUGCAUCCUAAAGAGGUCCCAAUCAGGUAGCUACUCGGCACCUGCACCGGGAGGGAAAUGUAACUUGCAGUUACUUUUCCUCAGUGCUCUAAGAUGACCGAUCUAACGCAGCCUUUCCCACGCUGACAGAUUGUUUCCAGUGUGUUGGUCUGUAUAUGCUUGGCUCAGGGAGUAGCACUAUUAGGAGGUGUGGCCUUGUUGGAGGAGGUGUACUACUGUAGGCGUGGGUUUUAAUGCCCUCGUCCUAGCUGCCUGGAAGCCAGUCUUCUCCUAGCUGCCUUCGGA